CAAUAGCUAGUUCCAGGACAGCCUCCAAAGCCACAGAGAAACCCUGCCUCGAAAAACCAAAAAAAAAAAAAAAAAAAAAAAGAGAGAGAGAGAGAGAGAAGGCUCACCAUGAAGGUUUCACAUCUCUCCUCCAGUUGUCCUGGGAUGGAAAUCUGGAUACCCCAGGCCUGUUGCACAGGGAAGGAGGCAGGACCGACUGUAUCAUUUGCAGAGCCCAUUGUAAAGUGAAAACCUGGGACCUCCAAAUUACUCAGCAAAGCAAGAACAAAACAAAGAAAGCCCAAGGGCCUGCCCAAAUCCAUCUCUGUCUAGCACACAACAUGGAGUCUGCAACCCAAGGCUGGGCAGCCAAGGUAAACAGAGAGGUUUCCUCACCUCACCCAGGAGGGAAUUCCCAGGCAACGCCACCAUACUCCUCUCUGGCUCCAAGGUGGCAGCUGCCAAGAUGCCUCUGGGUCCCCUUGCUUCUCUGGAAACCAGGACUUUGUGCUCUCCAGGCCUCCUCAGUGAGGGGAGGGAACAGGACUUUGUGCUCUCCAGGCCUCCUCUGUGAGGGGAGGGAACAGGACUUUGUGCUCUCCAGGCCUCCUCAGUGAGGGGAGGGAACAGGUUGGAGCUGUGUCAUGAGACAUGGAAGAACAAAAUAAAGACAGAGCUGAGAAGGGAGUACGGACAUCCAGAGAUCUGAGCCCAAAAGUCCGGGGACACCUGUGGUAUGUCUGUACAACAGAAAAUCUUCAGCAGCAAAGGCACACAUGACCACAUGCAUAUAGAACCACAUAUAGACAGCUUAAAACCACUGUGAUAGGUCAGCCAUGUGGCACACAUCAGAAAAUCUCAUCAGUAGAGAGGCUGGGCAGGAACAUUGCAGCAAGGUCUGGGCCAGCCUGGGCUGCAAAGUGAAAUCCUGUCUCAAGCAUAUGAAGAAAUAAUCGUGCUGGAUGAAAGAGAUAAGAUACAAAAAAGCUCA